CCUACGGGGGGCAGCAGUGGGGGAUAUUGCACAAUGGGGGAAACCCUGAUGCAGCGACGCCGCGUGGGUGAAGAAGCGCCUCGGCGCGUAAAGCCCUGUCAGCAGGGAAGAAAAUGACGGCACCUGAAGAAGAAGCCCCGGCUAACUACGUGCCAGCAGCCGCGGUAAUACGUAGGGGGCAAGCGUUAUCCGGAUUUACUGGGUGUAAAGGGGGCGCAGACGGCGAUGCAAGCCAGGAGUGAAAGCCCGGGGCCCAACCCCGGGACUGCUCGUGGAACUGCGUGGCUAGAGUGAGGGAGGGGGAG
rnacentral:rRNA from 1 species